AUCACGCUGCGCGCGGUGCCUCAGACCAUGCAAGUCGAACGAUUAAGACUUCCUUCGGGGAUACGAGUGGCAUAAAGUGGCGCCACGGUGAGUAACACGUAAGUAAAUCUACCUUAGAGUGGGGAAUAACGUCCGGAAACGGACGCUGAAAUACCGUAUAAUGACAGCGGCAUCGAAAGAUGACAGUUGGUUAAAGAGCAAUCGACAUAGCUGAACGAGGAGCUUGCGGGCAGAUAGCUAGUUGGUAAGGUAAUGGCUUACCAAGGCUACGAUCUGUAUCCGGUCUAAGAGACGGUCGGACACACUGACACUGAAAUAACGGGAUCAGACUCCUACGGGAGCAGCAGUCGGGAAUUUUGGGCAAUGGGCGAAAGCCUGACCAGCAGCAACGCCGCGUGAAGGAUAAGUAUUUCGGUAUGUAAACUAUACGAAAGAAUGGGAAAGAACUCAAGUGACGGUACCAUUUAUAAGCUCCGGCUAACUACGUGCCAGCAGCCGCGGUAAUACGUAGGGAGCAAGCGUGUUGUUCGGAUUUACUGGGCGUAAGGGCGCGUAGGCGGCAAAUCAAGUCAGCGUGUGAAAUCUCUGAGCUUAACUCAGAACGGUCAGCUGCAUACUGCUUUGCUAGAGUGGCGGAAGGGGCAAUCGGAAUUCUUGGUGUAGCGGAGUGAAAUGCGUAGAUAUCAAGAGGAACACCUGAGGUGAAAGACGGGUUGCUGGGCCGACACUGACGCUGAGUGCGCGAAAGCAGGGGAGCAAACGGGAUAGAUACCCCGGUAGUCCUGGCCUUAAACGAUGAAUACUUGGUGUCCUGGGAGUCUCUAUAGCUCCGGGUGGCCGUCAGCUAACGUUUUUAGUAUUCCGCCUGGGGAGUACGCACGCAAGUGUGAAACUCAAAGGAAUUGACGGGGACCCGCACAAGCGGUGGAGCAUGUGGUUUAAUUCGAUCGCAACGCGAAGAACCAUUACCUAGGCGUAGAAUGUGAGGGAAUCUUGUGGUAACGCCAAGAGUCUGGUGAAACCAGACCCAAAACAAGGUGCUGCAUGGCUGUCGUCAGCUCGUGUCGUGGAAUGUUGGGUUAUAGUCCCGCAACGAGCGCAACCCUAUUGAUAGUUGGCUAACAUUAAGUUGAGAACUCUAUCAAGACUGCUGUUGAUAAAACGGAGGAAGGUGGGGAUGAUGUUCAAGUCAUCAUGGCCUUUAUGCUUAGGGCUACACACGUGCUACAAUGGCCGGUACAAAACGUCGCAAUCUCGUAAGAGGGAGCUAUCGCAAAAACCGGUCUCAGUUCGGGAUGAAGUCUGCAACUCGACUUCAUGAAGUUGGAAUCGCUAGUAAUCGCAGGUCAGCAACACUGCGGUGAAUGUUGUUCCUGAGCCUUGUACACACCGCCCGUCAAGCCACGAAAGAGAGGGGACGUCCGAAGUCGCCUUUACCGGCGCCGAAGACGGACUUCUUGAUUGGGACUAAGUACGUAACAAGGUA
rnacentral:rRNA from 1 species